rnacentral:lncRNA from 1 species
UUGAACAUUAACGAGAUUUAGGUGGACCUCCAACAUACAAAUAGUUCGAAAUAUGCGAAAUACUUUCCAGGAUCAAAUGGAAAAUUGAACCAACAAUAAAUUGCUUCAAAUACUAUCUGAAAGGAUAUCCUUGAAAAAAGCACAAACCAUAACAAAUCAAAGGUAACAGCUGAUAAGCUUAAUUGUUGUACAAGCCGGACCGAUAAGAAAACUAGCUUCAAUAAGCUAUAAACCUAACUAGGGCCAGAAAUAAAAGAUAGCCUACUUAUAACUUACAUUAUCGUCUGUAGUGGCAAGAAGAAAGUCUCCAUCCUCCUACAAUGAUGAAACCACAGAUGAAUUGCACAUUCAGCACAUUCUGAUAACAUGUACGAUGAAAUUAGAUAUUGCGUGUAAAAUAAUGGAUCCAGCGGAAUGAUAAACUAAACGGUGUCAAAUUAUGAGGUAAUAAUCC